UACUGCUGGAGCUCUUCAAUUAAAUGGCAACAGUCGGGAGAGUAAACAGAGAGGUAAAGCACCAGCUUCCCGUGCAGGAACGCCUCCACCUACAGGUAAAUCUGCUCUCUCUGCUCUGAAGAAACUCCCGCUGCCCCCCUCGUACACACGCUCAGAGAAGCAAGAAGCCUCUAUCGUUCUCAGUCAUGCCGGAGGAAGAAAUCUUCGCGGCACGCAGGUUUGGCAGCACUCUUAGAGCGUCUUAGAGGGCAGCAGCCAGGCUGCCACACUGCCUGCGAGUCCUCCUGUGCCAGCGACAUGUCACCCCGAGGGUCCGGGCAGGCGUGGCCGCACGCUCAGCCUCCCUGAGGAGAUCCCUGAGGUGUCCCUUGCAACACCAAAGGCAGCAGCCACCCCCAGCUCACCCCCUUCAUCUCAGGACAGCUGGGGGUCAGGGAGGCAUCACAUCUCUGCAGCUCUUCCUUCCUGUGCCAGCUCUUCUCCAGCCAAACUGCCGGCUCAUCGGACAAAAGCUCAUUUUCCCCACAACCUCGGGCUUGCAGCAAAAUAGGGCCUAGAGAGGUACCAGGAAGACACAGCAGGGCAGAAAUGCCACAGGUAGUCCCUUAAAUCGAGAAGCUAGGGCUGGUUGCUUUUAUAUUUUUAAGGCACUUAAAGAAACAGUUGUAUUUUUCACAACUACUGAGCUCACCAGGAGCUCUGCAGAACUGGAUUCCUUAUUAUGGGACUGCUUCAAUCUGGGAUUUAGCCUCAAUUUAAGUUGUAAUUUCUGUUUUGUUUUUUUUUUUUUUUAAUUCAACAGCCAAUCAUAAAACAAUGCAUCAUUAAAAUGAUGGUGGACCCUCUCCAAUGGUUUCUUUCACUAAGUCUGAAGCUGGGCUGCUGGUGCUGGUGUUCCUAAAGAGAAAGCAAACCAGGAUGCACAGGACUUUCUCCUCUUUUAUUUAGCUUGUCAUCUCAGCUUACUGAGCAAACACUUCCAUCUAGUGGCCUGCUGCACACAUGCUGGGAUGAUGGAUGUCCUUGGGAGUAACAGCAGCUGAAUUCCCCAUGUGACACCAAUCCCUUGGACCACUGCCUCCUCUGCAGAGUCAAAAGCAAGAAAACGAAAGCCUCAAAAGAAAGCACACACCAGACAAAUUCAUCUUGUUCUGCACCACAGGGUCACUAAAGAGGUUGAUGGCUGUGAUGGACCAGCAGGAAUCCCAGCUGCUCUCCCAUGGUGGGGCUGCAGGAAAUUCCAGGCUUCUGCAGAUUUCAACACGCAGGACUACAUUGUUGGACGUGGUCAUCAUGUUUUGAACACACUCUGCAAGUGCUAAAUGGCCUGUACUGGACUUGAGAAAUGGAGGACAGGCCUUUGUGCAUUUUACAAGAACCACUGGCACAAUUAGGGUUACACACAGUCCUGCAGCCAGAUACUGCAGCAUAUGUGAAUAUUUCUCCAACAGGAGUUCCCUGAUGGGCCCUACCCAUCUGGAGAUGUCUGUGCUGCAGGGAUCACUGCUUACCAGACAGAAUUUGGCUGGUUUGGACACCAGUAGCUGUGUAGCCUUGGCAACAUCUGAGUUUCCUAGGGCCUUCCUGGAGAGUACUUAGAGCUGAUUUCCCUUUCAUUGAAGGCCAAAGUGGUCCCUGGACAUGCUGGGAGGUGCGAGUGACAGAAGGAGGUCAUUGCUGCUUUGAUGCCCAUAAGUGGAGGUUAAAUACAGGGAAUGGAGCAAUGUCAUAGGAAAAAAUGGCUUACUUCUCUGCAGUUCUUAAAAUCAGAUAAUCUUCUUUGGACUGAGCAGUGCUCCUCUAAUCUGAGAAGGAAAAAACUGCUCCCUCUCCCAGUGAAGAACCACUGAUGAGCCAGUACCCCACUGCCCACAGGGCUUGUGGGUACCAACAAAAACUUCUUCCCCUCUUACUUUCACACGUUCUGAUUCCCUCUCCUUUGAAAGAGUGGUGGAAUGAGCAGUAUAUCUGCAGUAUGUCUGUGGCAGAGUGGCCACCAGAAAUGAAAUUACUACUCAUCAGCUGAGCUGCUGUAGCAGAUUGGACUCAGGUAUUCAUUGCUCCGUCCAGAAAGGAAAUAAAAUUUCUUGUCCUAGGUGACCUCCAUAAAGUCACUGAGCUACACGGUAAGCUACAGACUAAGCUACAACUCACUUGCCUGUGCUCCCAGAGUUUGCAUGGAUAAACUGUUUCAGCCUUUUCACUCAUCUCUGUGCCUACAGAAACUUUUCCUGGGGUCUGCUCUACAUGGAGAGCUACAAAUAAGUUCAAUAACUUUUAGAUUAAACUUUACAAGUUGUUCCUUCCUCUCUAAGCAAUGCAAAUAAGGAUAGGUGUGUCAGGUGGGCCAAGUUUUAAGACUUUCCUGCCUUCCAAUGUCUUCAUUGAAUACCAGAGCCCUCAGCUCAGACUGGGAGAAGUUACUAAGUUGUUGCAGUGUGAAGCGAUAUCCUGUCCCUCAGGUGUGCCAACUUCUUCUUUCCCCUCCCCCUGCCCCCUUGCCUUCUUCCUAACUGCUGUCUGUCAAGUCCCACAUUCCAGUAAGGGUGUCAUGUGAUUGGCAGAAGUUCAAAAGAUGCUUCUCAGACCUGGGGUCAUUGGCCUGUCCAGGUGUCAUUGUCCCCUGAGACCCUCCUCCUCCCACCUGGUUGGUGGCUCACCUGUCCUCUCCCUCCCCCCUCCCUGUGGGCUUAAAAGACACUGAAACCAUGCGGUCGUUAUUCUGUUGGAGCUGUUACCGAGAUUCAGAGCUCUGUCAUCCUGGAAUAAACUCUGGAUUUAACCCUC